CAAAGCCAACCUGCUGGCCCCGCCCUCUCCCGGCCCUCUCCGUGGGCUUGCCGGUACCAGUGGCGGGGGAGCCCAGGAGCCGCUUCAGAGAACCUCCGGAGAGGUGGGGAAACUGGAGCUCCAAGGUGACAUCAUUCCUCCAAGAUACUGGGUGACUUUCAGAGAAAUAAGUCUCCUCUUUCCUAACACUGAACUCGCAUAAAAAGUUUAACACUGUUGUAAAAUCGUGGAAUGUCAGCAUUGAAAUGAUCCUUGGAGACCUAUUGUGAAAUCAUAGAAUACUGACUUUUAUGAAAUCAUAGAACAUCAGCAUUGAAGUAGUCUAAUUUAGUUUUAGAAAUAAAUUUUGGAGAAAUUGAAGGACACAGAGGGGCAAGGACCUGACCACCCUGUCACACAGCCCAUCCAUAGUGCGUGGCCACAGAACUUCGGCUUUGUGGUCUAAUGUUUGCACAUUUUACCGCAUUCUCCUUCUGUGUUGGUAAUUCCAAGGAAGGUAUUACUGGCAAAAGUUCCUAUAAUUGUGGUUUAUAAUGUCUUACCCCCAAAAUCUAGGGAAUUCACGUAAGGUAACUAUGUGAAUUAAGGUAAAAUAGGCCAGAAGCCUUGGAAGUUAUCUAGGUCUUUGUGAAAGUCUCAAAGAAGAAAAACAAAAAACAAAACCCUCAUACACUCUCUCCAAGUUUUUCUGUGUCUGGGUGUAAAUAAAAGAUCCCAAGGAGGACUUUGAUAAGAGAGAAGGAAAGCUCAAGGCUCUAGGGCAGGGGCGGGGAAACUUUUUUCUGCCAAGGGCCAUUUGGAUAUUUAUAACAUCAUUCGUGGGCCAUACAAAAUUUCAACUUAAAAAUUAGCCUGCUAUAUUUGGUCAAAAGUUUAAUCCACUCACCCCUAAUGCCUUGUCAGGGCCAGACCAAAUGAUUUUGAGGGCCUUAUAUAUAGCCCAUGGGCCAGAUGCUCCCCACCCCUGCUCUAGGGUGUGAGGAUAUGUGACAUGUCCAAGUUGGGAGUGGUGUGGAUGUCAUGAGGGGAAGCGGUUCUAUGGAAAAUAGGGAAGGGCAGAAUUUCAAAGCCCUGGGAACAAUCUCAGAACCACGUUGUACCUACAAUUAAGCACGGGCCAGCAGAGGGAGUGGUGUCCACUCUACCCACCCAGCCUCUCUUCAUGCAGUGUCAGUACUGGAAAUGUAUAGUUGGGAAAAGAGGAGGUCUCAGCCAUUAAGCAAGUUGCUUCCUAUUAUGUAUUGAAUUAUGUGUCCCCCUAAAAUUAAGCUAUAUUGAAGUCCUAACUCCCAAUACCUCGGAAUAUAACCUUAUUUGGAAACAGGGUCGUUGCAAAUCAAGUUAGUUAAUAUGUCAUACUGGAGUAGGGUAGGCCUCUAAUCCAAUAUGACUAGUGUUCCUAUAAGAUGGACAUGCGGAGACAGAUGAGGAGGACUCCAUGUGAUGACAGAGGUUCUCAGUGAUGCAUCUAUAAGCUAAGGAACACCUGGGCUACCCAAGGCUGGGAGAUGCGUGAAACUCCCUUUAGGAUUCUCAGAAGGAACCAACUUUGUUGACACCUUAAGUUUGGACUGUGAGACAUUAAAUUUCUGUUGUUUAAAGCCA